AUGGAGGUAGCUUUGAAGUCAAGGUGGGGAAUAAAUGAAACAAGUGAGGAAAUGAGACAGACAGUGGUAACAGCUAAGAGCCUUUUGAAACAAUUCAAGUUAGUAUAUGUUGUGCCCAAGAUUACGUAUCCGAGAAACUACCAAGGAGCCGGUUUGUGUUUUGCACAGAGCCUUCCCUAUGAUGAUUACACAUCAUUCAACUAGUAUUUAAUUGAGACUUUAAGGACCGAUCUACUCAUGAGAACCUGCUGAUUUUACAAAUAUGGCAGCUAUGCCUCAGCAAAUUAUAAGCAAUAAUGAAUUAGUUAAUUUUCUUUAGUGAAAACUGCUAUGGUAAGAUUAUUAAAUUACUGUAUUUCUACUUAGUGAAAGUAGCUACCAGUCAGUAAAUUAGGAUUUCUAGGACUCUUUGGGGAAAGGGAUUAUUACUAUUAUCCAUGUUUAUCAUUAUUUUGGCCUUAACAGAAUUAAAAUGCUCACAGUACCAUGUUUAGAUACAAUAUUUUUUUUCCAAAUUUAUAGUUUGAUAAGAAAAUGGCUUUAUUGAAUAGGAUCUCAGUGUAGAGUAGAAAACAAUUUUACUCUUAUGGUAUAUUCUAGGAAUUUAGUUGGCUUGAUUACUUUGAAGGGCUGAUUCAGAUUAACAAUAGUAUCCUCCCCCAACAAAUAGCACCUACCAUGAAUUUUUUAAAUUGCACUAUCUCCUACUUAUAUGCUUAUCUCCAAAGUGAACAAAAAUCUGCUUAGGCAGACUUUUAAAAGCUAAAGGCAAAAAAAAAAAAAAAAAAAAAAAAAAAAAAAAAAAGCUAAAAGCUGCAGGAUGUUUUUAUUUACAUGAACUAAAGAGCUAAAAAAUAUUUAAUUCCAUAUAUUUUGCAUGUUGAAGCCCUGGAAACACAUUUGAAAACAGCUUGUAUUUAGUCAAUAUUGUGGGGGGAAAAUGGGACAUUUUAUCCUCCCCAUCAUAGUACUUAGGUAGACAUGGCCAAAAAGGCACACAUUUUACAUGUCCUUAUGUGAGCUUAUCCUCUUAUAGACAAUGCACAUGGGAAUUUGUUCUUUUUUUUCACAUGUCUCAUGAAGGAAAAAUAUGGUUUGGAUAUUAAAAUAAAAUAAGGUUUCAUUUACA
rnacentral:lncRNA from 12 species